rnacentral:rRNA from 1 species
GACGAACGCUGGCGGCGUGGAUUAGGCAUGCAAGUCGGACGGUAGGACUUUAUCGUAAGAUAGAGUUUGAGAGUGGCGAACGGGUGAGUAAUACGUAGGAAUCUACCCUUAAGACGGGGACAACCCAGGGAAACUUGGGCUAAUACCGGAUGCGAGUGUAUGAGAGUACAUUUAAAAGGAUGGUGAAAGCUAUCGCUUAGGGAUGAGCCUGCGGUCUAUUAGCUAGUUGGUGGGGUAAGAGCUCACCGAGGCGAUGAUAGAUAGGCGGCCUUAACGGGUGGUCGCCCACACUGGGAUUGAGAUACGGCCCAGACUCCUACGGGAGGCAGCAGUUGGGAAUCUUAGGCAAUGGACGAAAGUCUGACCUAGCGACGCCGCGUGAGGGAAGAAGGCCUUCGGGUUGUAAACCUCUGUCAUGGGGGAAGAAGGAAGUGACGGUACCCAAGAGGAAGCCCCUGCUAACUACGUG